rnacentral:lncRNA from 1 species
CAUGGGACAAUGGUAAAUGAUAUACUUAACUGAUGUGAGACAACGACUCCCAGGUGCCCUGUGGACCGUCGCCAUGUGUCGGUGAUUGAAAGUGGACAAUCCCUGCGAGCUCGCUUCUCUGCUCUGCUCUUCCCGCUAGAGAGUGACGACCAAUCUGUGUAUCUUCACUGCAGAAUGAGCCUCUGUGACCGACUCACCAACUGCGUGCCUAACUGUGCAGGGAGGAGCAAACGGUCACUGCACGAGGCGUCUACACUUAAGAUGGACACCGUCACUGCUGGACCAAUUUACUGUGAGCGCAUUUACAAAUCUAAUGAAUACUACAAUCAUUUUAUGAUGUUAUUCAUGUGUAGUAUAAUGCAAAUGUCCUCUUUCUUCAGGGAAUAAGUGACAGUCUAUCUGACAGUCUCCAGUUUGCCUUUUAUUUUUGGGUUUGGACUUUUGGUGCUGGACUAACGCUUCAACAUCAAGACAAGUUUGCAAUGACAAAUCAAUUAUCUAACUGUAUUUUAUAAUCACUUCAAGUUUAUACAUUUACUCCAUGAUUUUAUCAGAAAUUGUAUCAGUGAGUUUCUUUUAAAUAUAGUAAAGAUGCAUUUUUAAUCUGUUAUGAGUUGGUUAUCAAUGCUGUAAUCAUGAUCAAAUAAAAUGACCUUGUGGCUUCAUUGUAAAAGUUCCCCAAAUGUCUUUCUCAGCACAUGAUCAAUCUGCAAGGGGUUUUCUGUCUUCGGCAUCCUUCAUUUCACAAGCUAAAACAUCUCCUUUUCUCAAAUAUCAUUUCUGUCCCAUUUGGUGAUGCAGGGCUGAAAGUCUUGAGGGCAGGUCCGGCCUCCGGCGCAAGCAAUAUUUAGUUAUUAGGCUGCAAAUUACAGUCGGAGGCACUUUAAUCUGACUUGAAUAACACACCGGUCUCCUUCAACCUACCUUGAUUCAAGAGUCAGCGCGCACAGCUGUCACAGCCAAUGGGAGCAUGAUAUUAGAUUGUCUUAGCCAAUUUCUAGAGAGGAGGGCGCAGUGUUCGAAUUACGGGGGAGCUGAGGGGAGCUCGGCUCCCCUGAAAAGGACCUGGGCUCCCCUGAAAGCCUACUUUGAGACUUUUAAAUCUAAAACACUGUCCAUUUUUUGUGUCGCAUAUAGAUUUUGAUUUUCUGUACAUUAAGGUUCCUGAAAUAAAUGAUGAUAUAAAAAAUGUGUCAAUGCUGUGUGUUUAUUCGCUCAUUACAUUACUAUUUCCGAACAUCUGUUUUUUUUUUUCUAUUUCCGAACAUCUGUCUCCGCUAAUAAAUGCAAUGCUGUGUCUCCUGCUGUGACCAUCCAUGCGUGGCGGCGC